rnacentral:rRNA from 1 species
UACGUAGGUCCCGAGCGUUGUCCGGAUCUAUUGGGCGUAAAGCGAGCGCAGGCGGUUGUAUAAGUCUGAAGUAAAAGGCAGUGGCUCAACCAUUGUGUGCUUUGGAAACUGUGCUACUUGAGUGCAGAAGGGGAGGGUGGAAUUCCAUGUGUAGCGGUGAAAUGCGUAGAUAUAUGGAGGAACACCGGUGGCGAAAGCGGCUCUCUGGUCUGUAACUGACGCUGAGGCUCGAAAGCGUGGGGAGCAAACA